CUGAGACCCGCGCCCGCAGCUUUUAAAAUUUCCCCUCCUGGAGCCCCUGGCGCUGUGGAGGAAAAGGCGAAGGUGGCGCCUGCCACUCUCCCCCCCGAGAGAACUUCAGAGGGCUUCCAAACUCGAGUCAAACCAGAUGCCUGCCCCUCGGGUCGAAGCAGCCGCUCGCGCACAGGGUCUGGGCCGCCGGUUCGCCGCCUCCGCGUGGGACCCCGCCCUGACUGCUGACCCUGAGCUGGCAGUAGAAGUUAAGACCGUCUAUGAAAGUGAUUUGGUGUUACUUCUGUAUGGGUAAAGACCAGAAUCAUGGAUAAAGACAAAGAAAUCGAAAUCUGAUGGCUCCCACAAAGUAGAAAUUAAAAUUAUUAAAAUUA